rnacentral:rRNA from 1 species
CAGUCGCCGCGGUAAUACGUAGGUGGCAAGCGUUGUCCGGAAUUAUUGGGCGUAAAGCGUGCGCAGGCGGUUGUGUAAGACAGGUGUGAAACCCCCGGGCUUAACCUGGGAACUGCGCUUGUGACUGCACAGCUAGAGUAUGGCAGAGGGGGGUGGAAUUCAAUGUGUAGCAGUGAAAUGCGUAGAGAUGUGGAGGAACACCGAUGGCGAAGGCAGCCCCCUGGGCCAAUACUGACGCUCAUGCACGAAAGCGUGGGGAGCAAACAGGAUUAGAUACCCCCGUAGUCCCUGUCUCUUAUAC